rnacentral:rRNA from 1 species
CAGUCGCCGCGGUAAUACGGAGGGUGCAAGCGUUAUCCGGAUUUACUGGGUUUAAAGGGUGCGUAGGCGGGCAGGUAAGUCAGUGGUGAAAUCUUCGAGCUUAACUCGGAAACUGCCGUUGAUACUAUCUGUCUUGAAUAACGUUGAGGUGAGCGGAAUAUGUCAUGUAGCGGUGAAAUGCUUAGAUAUGACAUAGAACACCGAUUGCGAAGGCAGCUCACUAAACGCUCAUUGACGCUGAGGCACGAAAGCGUGGGGAUCAAACAGGAUUAGAUACCCCGGUAGUCCCUGUCUCUUAUAC